GCAUUGGUAGUUCAGUGGUAGAAUUCUUGUCUGCCACGCAGGAGGUCUGGGUUCAAUUCCCAGCCAGUGCA